GGCUUAAUGAUUUUAAUUUUAAGUCAAUCUGCCCAAUGAUUAAUAAUUUAAUGGCUGCAGUAUAACUGACUGUACAAAGGUAGCAUAAUCAAUUGUUUUUUAAUUAAGAACUAGUAUGAAAGAAUUAAUGAGAUAUAUACUGUCUCAUAUAUAUUUAAUUAAUUUAAAUUUUUAGUAAAAAUGCUUAAAUAAAUUUAUGGGACGAUAAGACCCUAUAGAAUUUUAUAUUAAUUUUUAAAUUUAUAAAUUAUUUAAAGAUUGAUAUUUAAUUGGGAGGAUUAGUAAAUUAAUUAAACUUUAUUUUAAAUUUAAACUUUGAUUUAAGAAUUAAUGAUGAUCUUGUAUUAUAAAUUAUAAGAAUAAAUUACCUUAGGGAUAACAGCGUAAUAUCUUUUUAAAGAUCAUAUUAAUAAAGAUGGUUGCGACCUCGAUGUUGAAUUAAGAUAAAUUUUAAAUGAAGAGGUUUAAUAAUUAAGUCUGUUCGACUUUUAAAAUCUUACAUGAUUUGAGUUCAAAUCGACGUGAGU
rnacentral:rRNA from 1 species